UACGAAGGGGGCUAGCGUUGCUCGGAAUCACUGGGCGUAAAGCGCACGUAGGCGGAUUGUUAAGUCAGGGGUGAAAUCCUGGAGCUCAACUCCAGAACUGCCUUUGAUACUGGCGAUCUUGAGUCCGGGAGAGGUGAGUGGAACUGCGAGUGUAGAGGUGAAAUUCGUAGAUAUUCGCAAGAACACCAGUGGCGAAGGCGGCUCACUGGCCCGUUACUGACGCUGAGGUGCGAAAGCGUGGGGAGCGAACAGG
rnacentral:rRNA from 1 species